rnacentral:rRNA from 1 species
GUGGGGAAUAUUGGACAAUGGGCGAAAGCCUGAUCCAGCCAUGCCGCGUGUGUGAAGAAGGUCUUCGGAUUGUAAAGCACUUUAAGUUGGGAGGAAGGGCAGUAAGUUAAUACCUUGCUGUUUUGACGUUACCGACAGAAUAAGCACCGGCUAACUUCGUGCCAGCAGCCGCGGUAAUACGAAGGGUGCAAGCGUUAAUCGGAAUUACUGGGCGUAAAGCGCGCGUAGGUGGUUUUGUAAGUUGGAGGUGAAAUCCCCGGGCUCAACCUGGGAACUGCCUCCAGAACUGCAUGACUAGAGUACGGUAGAGGGUAGUGGAAUUUCCUGUGUAGCGGUGAAAUGCGUAGAUAUAGGAAGGAACACCAGUGGCGAAGGCGACUACCUGGACUGAUACUGACACUGAGGUGCGAAAGCGUGGGGAGCAAACAGGAUUAGAUACCCGUGUAGUCC